GGUAGGCCACGCGCGAGGGCCGCGCGGCGGCGGCGGGGGGUGGGGAGACCUUGCUCGGCCCUCGUGUCUCUGAGGUAAAAAAGCUCGUUUUUUGCACCCCUGCGGCGUGAAGGGGCUCGUGUAAGUACCCUGAAAGGCGGCUGUUUGCCCUGGGGCUGAGAGUGCUGCUGUCUCUACUGGCCGGCAGGUUUUUUUCUGUAGAAAUGUGUCUUUUAACCUUAGGAUAUGGGAAAUAGGGGCACAGGUCCCUGAGAGGAGAAGCAGAGUGCAGUCAGGAAAAAAAAUUGCUAGUGCCCAAAGCAGAAAAAGUUUUUUAAGCUUGCUCAUCUACGUUGUGGUGGCAACGGGAUAACUCCACGAAGAUUUGGAUCUCCAGAGACUGCUGAGGCUGAUACUCAGUGGAAUGGAUGAAAUGUGCAUAUCACUCUGAACUUCGGCGUCUGGAUCUGAGGAAGGUCCUUUCAUUCACGCUGCUCUCCAGUUAUGAAAGAAACUGUUAUGGCUCAAAUUUGGCAGGCUUCAGAAAAAUUCCAGCAGUUCAAAUGCAUUCAAUUAAUAUGCUGAAUAUUGACUCAUUGCUUACUCACAUGAUGAACAUUUAAAUUACGCUUUCUCAUUUUCAAAGCAUAUUAUAAAUAAGGUUUAAUCCUCGCAGCCUGAUGAAGUCACUUGGCAUCAUUUCCUCCUACUAAUGGAAGAAAAGUUUAUAGGAAAAAGUAGUAUCUUUUAUUAGAUGUUGUUACUGCUUUCAGAUUUAUUUCAUGGAAGUACUCCUGUAAAUUUGCACAGUUAGCUAAUGAAAAAAUAGAAGUACUGAUUGUAAUCCCAGGUGAAUAAGAGCAGAAGAGAAGGCUCUACAGUUUAGUGACUUUAGGCUCUGGCCAGCUAUCGCCUGUCUGUCCAGGAAAAAAAAAAAAAGUUUGAAGGGACCUUGCCAAGAUGUACGGGUAACUCUUGGACACAGCAGCACAAUGUAACUUUGACAGUGAGGUAUACUGGUUAUUUCUGACAAACUUCCGUGAUAGCAUAUCUCUUGAGACUGCUUAAAGGACAAGAUUGUAUAUUCCAGCUUAGCAAAGGAAUGGGUGCGUCUUUUCUAGAAGUUAUUCACACCGAAAGUCCCAGUUAGCAAAUGUUUUUCAUGCACUGUCGCUUAAGGAGAAGUUACAGGGAAAAGCACAACAAACCUAUCUAAUCGAGGACCAGAAAUGGAGAGAGGGAGUCCUGACGGGGCAUCAGAAGGUGCAAGGAAACAAAGGAAAGAAACGGAAUAAGGGAACAAAUAUCUUCCAAAUCUGUCUUUGGCAACUGCACAGGCAAAAUUGCCAAGUUAUCCAGUUUGACAGGGCACUCGUUUACUAGUUAUUUGAUUGCAUUACAUUAAAGAAAGAUAGUUAUUUUCUACAGAACGCAUCAUAUGUGUAUCCUGAAGUAUCUCUGGAUUGGAGGAACCCCUGUGUUACAUACUCAGAAAAGAGGCAUUUUGGAACAGAAGCUACUGUUUUGGAAAGCCCAUCGCCUGUCUGAGAGGAGAAGGUAACUUUCUGGUGAGAAAUAUCCCUUCUCUGUACCCCUAAACAUACCAAGCACUGCCAAGAGGAACAUAUACACAAAGGUUUCAUAAAGGGCACUGGGAUCCUCACUGUCAAGUAACUGGAUUGAUGAGAGCUAUAGUACACAAUACUAUGCACAUGCUCAAGCAGAUACAUAAAUGUGGUAUUGAAGGUGAGAAAGAAGACAAAGCUCUGCGGAUGAGAGAGAGAGAGAGAGACAGACAGACAGACAAGGAUGAGGGUAGCGGAGUGCUCCUCUGGCUCCUGUCUUGUGUGAGUACAUAGCUGUACUGAAGUCUUCCAACAAUUCAACUUGAGUCCCGGUUUCAUGGGGAACAGCCCUUGAGAUGAAGAUUUCCCUGUGGAUUUAGCAGCAAAGCAAGUGCAUUAGAGAGAGACGCAACGCAGACCUUCCUCCCAUAAACGUGCACCAUCCGGGCGUACAGAAGUGGUACACGGGCGGAUACCCUACCCUGCCGUGGGUCACCGGCCGUGCCCACGUGGCUUUUGCAGGUGCUCCCCGUCACUCGGGACACUCCAACCAAGCCACCUUCACCUCGAGACGUGGUUUCGACCAGCCAGCCUGGCGAGUUGGCCAGCUCUGCCCCGGAGUGUGAACGUGCUGUGGAUUUUCUGCUGUUCUUGGGACCGUGGCUUUCCUAAGCCCAUGUCUGCUGGUACACAGGCAGCGAUGAGAGCUCAGAGAAGGCAAACUGCACUGCUAAAGCAUCUCUGUGCUGAUAAUUCAGCUGUCCUCUCCAAUUAUUUCAUUCUUUGCAGAAAGGCCACAAAGCCUGGAGGACAGGCAAUGUUUGGAAGAUGCCAUCUUUGGAAGAUGCAGUGCUUGGAAGAUGCCAUCAGUAUUUAGACAGCACCAAGUUCCCAGGCCCUCGUGUAGCUCACAGACUCAGUAAGCUUGUCUGAUAUAGUGAAUAAAAAUGCAAGGAAGCAACAAAUUUGGACCACCUGUAUGACCUGCCACAUGGGCAGGUUGUCGCUGGCAUCUUGGUGGGUGGAACCGAUUUGCAGGAGGUGUGUGGAGCAAGGUCUCACCAGGGCCUUUGCACAAAGCUCACCUCGAGCCCCCGCUAACUUCGCCAGCAAGCUCUCCGUGCGUGCUCGUGGCAGUGCCCGACUUGCGAGGUGGAUACCUGCCACCUGAGAACAAGCGGUUGUUGUUUACCCACAAGCAGAGCUGGAGAUAAGCCUAGAGUAACAAAGUCCUGCCCUGAGGAGCUUUUUCCCCAAUUCUCGCGUGCACAUCUGUACUCUAGCCUUUUAUUUUUGCAUGGAUAUUCCAGAGCAUUCAAGUAUAAGCAUGGUAAAACACUUGAAAGGUGACAUUAUUUAUGGAUUUUCAGACAGCCUCCUGUGUGCUACUGACUUAUGAACACACCUAGAAGCUCGAGAGCCUGUAUUUUUUUCAAAGGACGGGGGCCGCUUGCACAUGGGAAGCCGUCUCCCGAGCACCCGCGUUUUGCAAGCAAACCUGACAAUAGCCCGCGAGCCGCAAAUUGUGCUUGUGCCUCCACUGCAUUUCGUUGAAAACACCAACACAAAGCUGGCCGUAAAAUAAAGAAACAUUCGUUAUGAUUUUUACGGCUCCCAACUACUGUAAACUGUGGAGGAAUAGAGCUGCAAAGCUGGCCAUUAAACUGUCUGCUCUUUCCUGUUUAAACAAGGCCUCUCCAGGGUUUUAGCUGCCUCAACCACUGUGGGUCAACAUCCAGGAAGGAAGACGUUUCUAAGGUAACCACCGAGGCCUUCUACCAAGGUGGCUCCAUGAAAGCGCUGAACGGGUGAGAGUGACAAAAAGCAGUUCAUUGGAUAAUGUAGAAGAAGAGCAUUGAGAUGGAUCUGCGCUUACGGAGCGGCGACGCGCGGGACUCGACGGAGGGGCUCCCGGAGCAGCCCGGGAGGAGCGCAGCAGGACCAGCCACCGGGCACUCGGCCGCCAGCGGUCCUGUUAACCGGGAUAUCAAUACAAGGCUGCAAUACAUUGCCCCAGCCAAAAUAACCCCUGGGAAGUUGCCCCUGUUCUGAGCAGCAUUUGGUGCUUCUGUGAUAUACGAUACCCAGGCAUCAUCCUCCCCAGAUCAGGCCACUAGGCUUGAAAUGAUAAAUGUCAUAUGAAAUUUUAAUUCAUCAUAUUUAAUUCCUGUUAAAUGCUCCAGUGAGUACUGGAAAUCAUUAUUUUCUCCUUUCCCUCUUUAUCCCCAGAAAGGCUUUUACCAGGGCAAAUGAGCAAGUGUUUCGCAGUCUUUUCCAUUAUGAAGGAGUUUCUUCUGUAAAAAUGCAAGUGUGGACCAGAAGAAACGAAAUCGCCUUAGCAUUCUGAUUCAAGGUACUAAAAAAUAAUUAAAUGGUCAUUAAUGCCAUACAGGCAGGGUGGGACAGCACAGUGAAUCAGAUGAAAUUUUAUGACAAGAGAAUAUGUCAUAUUUCUGUUUGUUUUAACAAAACAUGAAUUUGAGGUUAUGUUUCUCCUGCAGUUAAUCUGAAUUUCUGUGUUUGUUUUAUUAUCUGUCCUUGGGGCAUGGGCAAAGUUUUACCUGAUUAUCUAGAGUCAGCACAGACAGACAUAACUUCAGGCUCCUUAAGAGCUGCAGAUGGGCUCCUUCCGCGUCCUGGCAGGAUCUGCAGCCGCGAUCAGGUAAACGCCCAGGGGGUUAGAGCAUCUGGUGACCUGUUCCAGCAUUCACAGAAAAAACACCAAUCUUUCCUUGUAAUGACACUACCUAAGGACCAGUCAGAAAAAAGAGGGCUGGCAGGCAGAAGAGAAAAGCACCGAGCGCCUCUGCAUUUCAUGCUGUUUCAGAUGCACCAUCUCUUGUUAAUUUUUCUCCUUGCAACGUCUUUGGGUAGAAAUACGCUCGGGUGUAGCAGGAGAUGCUGCAUGCCAUGUGCAGGACCACGCUGCUCCGGCCACGGGGCAGCCAGGGAGUGCUGAGGCCUCGCAGGGAGGCACCUGGCUGCGGUCCCCACUGUUGAAUUUACAUACAAAAAGGGAACUCGUGAGGUCUCAGGAGCUGACGGACCAGCUGAAUAAAGGGUGUGCGAGGGCUGGACUCGCUGCAGGAGCUUCAAACGGCAGCGCUGAGCUAUCCCAACCUGCGCUCUGCGAGCAGCACGGGUGACAUCCCUUUCUGACUCCUUGCAAGGAUGCCUCAGAAAAUAACGCGGCGCGGAGUCAGAGCACCGAUUGCAUAGGCUUGCCCUGGUUUGCAUUCAGGUCUGCAAGGGCAGCCUGGGAAAAGUUGCUCAUACAAGAUUCACGAGGCUGCUGGGCUAAGUUUGGAGGAAAACAGCUUCCAGAUUGAACACCAGAUUGCCGUUGCACAAUGAGUAGAAAACACAACCUUUAUUGCAUGAACAUAAGUAACACUGGAAAGUACGAAUCACUUGGGAGCCAGGCCCUUUAUGCAGCUUUUGUUUGCGAUAGUCUUCUAUCAUGUCUGAGCAAAAUUUUAAGCAAAGAGAAUCAGAAACUGAUAUUUUUUAUGGUUUUUAUUUUUUCCUGAGGAAAGGUAUUACGCUAUUCACUUUGGCUGCACUUCCCACCCUGCAGAAAUUAUUUACCCAAGUGCAGCAGCAAAGUGGGUCAGGGGGAAUAAAAAAAGGCACUGCACACAGAAAUCCUGAAUCUCUUGCAAAAGUUGGAUUAAGACUCAAGCUACUGUUUAAUGAGCGCUUGCCACGUUCUCUAUUUUGAGGGAAAGGUGUCAGCUCAGACAGCGGGGCAAAAAGCCUGCAGCAUUUGAGCUGUCAAAUCACUCUCCCCUGGUUUGCAAGGCUAGCCACAAAGCAGGCAGCAGCAAGGAGGAUUCCUCUCUCCAAGCCCCUCUGCCUUUGCUGCUUUUCUGCAGUUUCUGCCGCAAACUGCUCCGUUUAGGUUUAAUAGUACAGUCACAUCUUUUCCCGACUCUCCGAAGCGAAGGAAGCUCGCUUUCCCGAGCCCCCGGAGUGAACUGGGGGGCACACAGAUAGCAUCAGCUGCUGUGGGUCCCGCACUAGAAAAAUAAAGAGCUCAGGUUGCAAAAAAGUGAGCUAGGGCUGAAACCUGAGAGAAGCGGGUAGUCUGCCUGACAGCUCCCUGUAGCUCCAGCUUAACGAGCAAGGCUGCAGCCAAACCUUGGCCUAGCUUCUUGCAACAGGAAAAGGCACUUUGGUGCAGCUGGGAAGACUGGAACGCACACUCAUAUAAAACGGUAUUUGCAGAGUAACCAAAGAGAAGACCGUAAUGUUUGUGAAAAGCAGUUUGUGCAGAUGAGCAGGGAAACACAGGCAAUACUGGUACUUCAGCUCAGCAAGAUCUAUCAGUAAUAAACCAGAAAUGGAAGAUACUGGAUGAAUUUUGGAAAGGCUGUUGGCAGAAGGGUGUUUUUCCCACUUUAACAGCAGGAAUCCAGCCAAAAAAGCACGGUCCAUUUCUUCUUCCACUAGUCCACUAAAACCACUGUCUUAAUCCAGAAACACUUCAGGUGGUGCCAUAUGUGGUUAUUUAUUUGUGUCGUUUGGUGCUGGCCAGCGAUCCGACUGGCUCACAAAGAAGCAGUAGCACAAUUUCCACCUCCAGUGGCUUCCUACAUGGAAAAGGCAGGCAAAGGAAGCACUACUAUCCCGUGGGAACGGGUGCACCAAGCAGGUGAGACAACAGCGGUGGGAUUUUCAAAAUUGCUCUGAGCUGAACAAAGUCUGUUCUCACUGAGGUGAACUGGAGUUUUAUUCCUGGUAUCCUUAGGAGCAUCAUGACCAGGGACAGGUACAGCCAGGGAGCAGACAGGGCUGCGUGGUGUCAGGAGCUGUACACCGAGUAGGAUGUGGCCAGCAGAGAUCUACUGGAUCCCAGCCUUCAGAAAUCUGCCCUUGAUUAAGCCAGCAAAGAGUGUCUUGAAAAUGACCUUGCAAGUGGCCUUCGCAAGGUGACCAGCACAUCGGGAGCAUUGCCACGCAGAGCACCCACCUGUCUUAACUCUCAGAGCAAAACCUUAAGGUCAAAAACCCAAAGUCAAAGCUGGAAAUGGUGGAUAGCUUCUGAGCUAGUACAAACUGACCUUCAGCCAGGAAAGUGGGUAGCUUUCUGGGGCAAGAGGCCUGUUUUUUGCAAAAUGAAAUUCCAAAAUGACUCCAGAGUCUGCUUAUUAAGACCAGAUUUGUUCUUUCACUUCCAUGUGAGUCAAUUGUUCGGCUGCUUCUUUUCCUUAGGUGUUUUCACGGCUACUUAAUGAAACCCUCCCACCAGCUCCUCACUUGAAAAGGAGGAAUUCAGACAAGUUUGGAGAGUCCUCAGGGAAAAAAAAAAUAGCUGGGCUCCUCUUCUGAUCAUAUGCUUUCCUAACACCAUAGACACGAUGGUGGUUUCCACAACGUGAUUAGACCCAGAGGUGAGACCAGUGGGCAAACUGGAAAAUAUCAUUCGGCUUAUCCCAUGUGAUCUUUCCUCACCAAAAUGUUUCCAAACCAAGAUGUGUGGUAUGGAGCAGCCUCAGAUUGCUCACAGAUGUCAGGAUAAAGCGAAGAAGUUCAUUUCCGGCUGUGAAGGAAAGGUCACAGAGGACACAGCUCAUGCAAAUCUCCACUGGUUCAUGUGUACCCGGCAAACAUGAAGGAAGGCUUUUAUCGUGCACUUUUUCCAUGCAGACAGCACGUUUCACAACUCUGAUUUGCAUUAGGGUGAGUUUAAAUGGGUACUCAACCUUAGACACUCUCUGGCUUCUAAAAUAUUUUUCAAGUGUUUUUUCCCCCUGAAUUUUUCAAAGGUCGGCUCUUAAAGGUGAGUAAUUUCCAAAGUGGCUAACUGUGCAAACCGAUCACGGCAGAAGGUCCGAGUGGGAAAACGUACAGCCGGAGGAGCAGUAAGGCUAUAUAUUUUGCAGUGUUUGGACUGUUUGUGAGCGUAGCCUGCGUCAGCAGUCUGUUUUCUCCCAGGCAAGAACAGAUAUUUCAUGCAAACUUUGCCAUCCUGUUCUUGUUUCCUGUGUAUAAGAAAUGACCUGAAGGCAGAGAAGGAGACAAUGCAGAAAAUUUUGAUGCAUGAAGGGUACUAACAAGCCAGGACUAUUUUAAAAGAGCACUUUUCAGCAUCUAAAUUAUUUAGCAGCCUGUCUAGUGGAGGCAGGGAAAGGGAGAAGGUCACUGGCCUACUGUGAAAAAUAAGCAGCUGCGUGGUAGGAGCCAACAGGGAAGGGUACUUGCCAUUUAACCACAAUGAGGAAGAGGAAGACAAAGACUUUCUACCCAAAGCGUGUUGGUGCACAUAUGUCGUUCUGCAGAUGUGUGAUGCUUCAGAGCAGGGCCCUAUUAAUGGUGGCUAGCUCUACUUGACACCAUGGCAUUAUCCAUGCAUCCCUACUACAAGGGUUUGUAGACUUGUUUCUGGAAUCUGUCCUGAAGACAGGCAUUCGGGAGUUUUGAGGACUACUCAGUGCUGAUGUCUUUGCUAUCAACAAAACAGUCUAUCCACAAGACUUUCUUGCUGUGGGUACCACCUGCCACCGGUUCUCAUUUUGAUAUUACCCUUUUCACCCCUUCUCCUUGCAUUGCACACCUGAAUCCUUUUAAAACUCAGCAGCUCCAACCAAAUGUGAGUCUAUUUCUUUUUUAAACAUAAAGAUUAAAAAGCCUGUUCAGAACAUAUAGCUGUGAAGUACUUUCCUUUGCUGGAAGUUCCUCUCUGAAAACCAGCUGAGCUUUUCUGGGGCUGACAGCCUGAACUAAAGCCAGUCGAAGCUCAGCAUGCCUGCAAACAACGCCUUGUCUUCUGUAGGGACCAAAAGUUGAACAGGCCGCAUUAGACCUAGCAGAGUCCUCCCUGGGAGCAGACACAAAGCUGGUAUCUGGACUGCAUAUGGCCAAGAAAACCCUGGAGGAUGCUUGCAAAGUAGUGCACUGCAUCCUCUAGUCCAGACCAAACUGCAGCCGGGGAUUCAUUUCAGCAGCUCUGGAGUCGGCGACUUCUGUUCGCUCAGCUUCUCCCCAUCCAUCAUUCACUCUGGCCUUCUCCUCCUCCUGUUGCAUGUGCUUUCUUUGAGACCGCCAUAGAUUUGCAGUUCAGCCACAGAUGAACUGUCCCGUAUCCACGAUGUGUCAGUGCUUUGGGAUCUUCAGGGGAAAAAUGCCUAGAAACAUUCACCAUCGUCGUCGUUUUUGCUGUGUUUGCUGCUCAUUCCCAGGGAAGCAACAGAAGUGUCUCACACAGUAAUCCCUGAUAAACCAUCAACAAAUGCCUUCUUUUUUCAAUAAUUUCCCGCAGGAAUAGCACACACUUCUUGCUCCUUUGGCUGGUGGGGCCGACAGAGCCGUGUCCGUGUGUGUAAGCGGCAUGGUCUUAUGAGCACCAGUGCAGGGCUCAUUAUAACCCGAGUGAAAACAGAAAAAGGUAACUGGGAAAUAGAUGUCAGCAGUGCUUCUAAUCAUCGCAGGCCUCCUUUGACACAUGUUUUUAAUUGCUUUAAAAAAAAAAGGAAAGAAAAGAAAUAAAACCAGUUAUGAAUAAUCUAAUAAGCUUACCAACCACCUGUGAAACGUGGCUUCCCAGCUGCACAAAAUCAAACGCAAGAAUAGAAAACAGAGAGUUCUCCGAGGCAACACACAUUCGCAUUAGACGCGCGUCAUUCCAAAGCCACAGCAGAAAAAUGCAUUAAUGCCAUUUUUGGCUCACAGUGUACAUGCCACUCUGUAAAAGUAUCUCAGAGGAGUGUUUACUUAAGUAACACAGAGAAUCUGCUUUAAAGUCAAAAGGUAGAGGUGGGGGAAGAUGGAAGAGGGAAACCUGCUCAUUGGCAUCAUUUCAAAUGAAAAACUUCAUCAAGAAAACCCCACAUAGCAUUAAUUUGAGGGACUGCAGUCCGGGAGGCAAGUUUACUCAAGAAUAGUUAAGCAUAUUUUCCUGGUACUGAGGAGUAAAUGCUCAAGCAAAACUAAAAUGCAGAGGGCUCUAUAGACACGGCUUUAUUCAAGAAGCAAUUUGUUUUCCUGGUAUGAAAAGAGAUUUAUGUUCACUGCAUUUUGGAGCCACCCAGCAAAUAUCCUCAUGAAGCUGUUUUUCAUGGGAAAGAGCUGUUUCUUAGAAGGAAAAAGGUAACAUCCUGACAUGGAGGAAAAAAAAUUAACUCUAUUUUCAAGGCAGUUUUGACAUGUUUUUCUUCUACACAGAAACAGACUUCAAAUACAGCUUCUUAACCACUACAGCUAACUGACCCACCCAGAGAACUCUUUUUCCACAAACAAUAUAGCGUCGGGAGAAGGAGUCUGAGAGGAAAAGCAAACAGUCCUUAAAGUAUCUACUUUAUUUGGAUAGUUCUGAACCACUGACAUUGGGGGCAGGUUUUAAGUCGGUGGGCGUGAGGAGAGGAAAGCUCAUGGUUUUGAUUUGAAGGAGCCACAUCAAAACCUGUUUUAGUAAAUGGAAUGGCAGUAUUUUGAAAAAUACAUCCUUCUUAAGGGGAUGUUAGGGAAAACAAUCCCAUGGCCUGUUGAAUAAUAAAAGCCAAUGUGUUAGUAGAGGAGAAAAAAAUAGCCUGCAAGUGAGAUUCUUGGAUCAAUCCGACUUGUACCUUCCCUGGUCAGAGUAAUAUCUGUUAGGCAAAGGAAAUCAUUAUACAGAUGUGGUACUGGUGGGCAGAAAAGGGUCAGUGAGCAGGAGAGAGGUCAAAAAUAUAUAUAUUUUUUCUUUCUUUCCCACCAAAUGGGCUGCAAGACUGGAGUCCCGCACACCAUGUUGGGAAGAUGCUAUGGAAGCAGCUGUCCCGCUCUGGAUGGAGCUGGUGCCCCCAUCACCGAUUCACCUGCCCAUCCUGUCCAUGCACCUUCUGCAGAGAUUACAUGUCUGGGGACAGGAGGAGUAGGGCUUAGCUGGGGGCUGUGCUAGGAUGCUACCCAUCCUGCAGCAAGGAAUACUUUGAGAAGAAGACAUGGGAUAAGCCAAGUCAUAUUUGCCAGUUUGCCCACUGGUGUCACCUCUGGUUCCAUCACUUCAUGGAAACCAACACCACAGCUAUGGUGCUGUGGGUGCAACACCGGGAUGGCAUGGAAAAUGAGACUUCCGUAGUCCUUGUCUUCAGCUGUCCCACGCAUUCCUGGUAACUAUGUUGUAAUCCUCCUGUGUAGUUUAAUUUGGGGAUUGUGUUUCAUUUCCAUGCUAUCCCUGUGUUGCACUGUUCUCACCCCUGGAUAGCUGCCUCCUACAUCUGAAGGAGCUUUUUAAUUUUUUAUGAACCAUUUUGCACACUUCCACAGGUAAGCAAAAGCGAGAUGAAAAGUCGUCCAUGUCUUCUGCGUUGUUGGAGGCUUCUGGGGGAGGCCAGCAAAGAGCUGCUGCUGUGCGGCAGGCCAGUGCACUGGCCCAUUCUGUGCCAGAUCAUGAAGUUACCGGCAGAGGUAGCCAGAGAUCGGCAGUCCAAUUCCAGGAAGAUUUCUGAGGUUUGGAAAUGUGUUUUCAUUCCGGUGUAGAAUGAGAACUAAACCUUUCAAACGUUUCCCUGAAAUGGAUUUGGUUUUUGUUGUUGUUGCCAUUGAGACAUCUGUUUUCAGAUGGAGAAGAUCAGGGUUUUCAUUUAGAUCCUUCUCCGCUUAUAAAUUGACCCUAGAAACUCUGAAACCUUUCCCAUGGAAGUAUUAUUAAUGGGACCAUCUCACUGUGAAACAUUUUGGUUUGGAGGAAGCAGCCUUUUCCAACAACAAUGACAACAGAUCUCAUUAAAAUGUUUGAGUGGCUCCAGUCUUAAUAGCAGCAAAUGGUUCAUCCAGCAUCUUCAGGUCCUGCAGCAUGAAACGCGAUAACAAUGUGACAUUAUUGCCACCCAUCAGAUAGGCAAUAAUACGGUAUUCACUUUGCAUAUCUGUAAGGGCCCUAUGUCAAUGGGUCAUUGUUUGGAACAGAUCUCUUACAAAAAUGGGAAAAGGGAAAUACCAUGAAAUACCUCCAAACUUUCAAUGCCAUUUAACAAAGAUGCAUUUUGGUCAUUAAUCACACACAUACAGGCAAGCUCUCAGAAAAGUCCAGCUGUUCCAGGCCACAAUGCUUUCUUUUAUUGCUUUAAGCGUCUCCCUGCUAACAAGACAACUUCAACACAUGAUACCCAAGAAGGGCCAUAACGCCUUAUUCCCAACCUAAUCGUUGUGACAUUGUUUCAAAUGGAAAAGUUCAUGGACUUACUGCCUUUAAAAGUCCCAGUGCAGCCUAAUUAUCUUCUGAAGUCUUUUGUACCAGUGCUAUCCGAUUUCAGACCAGCGUGGCGUUUACCGGGCAGCUCCCAGGAUAGCCUGGAAUCUCCAGGGAAUACGGAAAGUGAGCUCUUGUUUUUCCCUCAAAAUCUGCACAGAAAGCACGUGCUGAGAAUGGUUAUGGAUGCCCCUCUUCAGAGAUAUCCUUUUGGGAUAGGGUAGCAUGCGUAACAAGCUCUGCAUGACUUCUCGUGCAACAUGGUCCUUUCUGUUUCUGACCACGCAGCCUCCCGCACGGCUUUCCCGUGCCUAUAGCUGCUCGCGGCCGCCUCCUCUUUUGGCAUCGCCUCUCCCCAUCACUGCCGUAAAGGGGCUAAAUUCACCACUGCUCAAACCCACCGCUUUUGAGUGGGUUUAAAAUUUCUCAGGCCACAUUCCUACCUCCUCUCGUUUCCGGACUCUCAAGAAUUUGCCACACAAACAUAUUCCUUCCUUUUAUUUGUUUCUUCCAAGUAAUUAGACCAGGGAUUGUUUGCUACCUGUCAUACCUUCAUUUAAGUCAUUUGGGAACAAAGUGAGAAAAGAAAAAAAAUGAGAGCCUCUCAGUGGAUUAAGACUGCUGAUUGUAGUAACAAGAGGAGGUAUUUUAAUGACAGGUUUAAGACUUGCUAAGUAACUGCCACGAGGAUUAUGAAUAUAUUUUGUAACAGGGCAAGAUUAACAGAUAAUCCUUUAAAGAAAAAGAUGGCGAGAGGCUUUUUAAAAAGAAAAAUAAACUACGAAAACACCAAAAAUCUUCAGAAAUUCCACAUAAGAAAAAUUUUUCUCAGAAAUGUUGACAUCAUUGAAUAUUUUCAGGUCAGUGUCCUCAGCACGGUUGAAUUGGUGUGUCUUAAUGUCAGUGGAACAGUGUUGAUUUAUACCUCUUUUAACUUGGGCAUUUUUUAAAUGAACUAACAAACUCUGUGCCAAGGAGCAGCUUGGCAUCCUCAGUUGCAAAGAGCGCAGUCUGAAAUGAGUUAGGCUCCUUUCUUAGAAAAUGAGCUCUUGCUCUUGAACAAUGAUGUUAUUGAUACCUAAAUGUCAUAUGGAAAUUUCAAGGACACUUGGGGCCUUUCUCUUUCCUGACUCCCCAAGACUCAGUCUUAACCCUCGCCAAACUGAAUCACUGGUCAGCAAUUAGCUUUGCAUGUGACCAUUCAGUUCUUUAUUCAUUAUGAGCAGUAAUUAUGACAGGAACACAGAAAAGGCUGUGUUUUCACUCGUUAUCAGCAAGAAGAACGUACUGCCUGUAACACCUUCCUGGCUGGGCCAGUGUGGUUUUAUACUCGCAGGUUAGGCCACAGUCAGCCCAAAUAAUCUCUGCUGACAUUGAGGGAGCUUCUGAGCAGGUGGCGGCGGUCUGCAAAGCUGGUUGGAGACCGAGAGCCUCGUGGCUGGUGAGGCACAUGGUGACUUGCACGUCUGCCACCUGCAAGGCAAGCCCGACUGCUCCCAACACCUGGGGGGAAGGAUUCAGGCCAUUCUCUGGCCAGCCGAAACGGAGACUGGUUUCAUUAACAUCUCUUUAAAGUGCCAUCUGUUCUGGUAUGAAAGCGAGUACAAGCGAAUUUAGAGAUGGGCUGUUUCAGAAGAGGCUAUAGGCUCUUUCAUUCAGCUUCGACCUGAGCUUCACCAGGCGUGUUUUCCAACUGCAGAACCGGAGAACUGAUGGAUGCAGCAGCACUCGGAGUCCUUAGCGGGAAUCCCUAAUCUAAACCAUUUCUGAGCCGUGCCUUGGCAAACAACAUCAGGUUUUUCCAAGAGGGAAGUAUUCAUAUUACCAUGCCUUGUAAAAGCCCUUUGGAUGACCCACCUUGAAACCAUUUCACUUAAGAAGAGCAGGGAAAAGUGCUCUAUGGCAAGGAAAGAAGACUUAAUGAAGCAGUUUUGGCAUUUUUGCCCUAGGCACACCUCACACCUCAGAGGUACAGGCAAGACAACCUCUGUUGCUGCCGUGGCAUUAAAUUGCAUGGUGGGGUCAAGGAAGGGCUUUCUGUCAUUAAAAAAAGAGACAAAUGAAAGCAAAUUUGAUUUGAAUGAAGGCGAGAAAUUUAGUGAAAGGGAACAAAACAGAAUCUGGACAGAUCCUACCUCAAGAUGUGCUGAAAUCAGUGCAAGCCAUUUCACUCAUGUGGACAUGCCCUGCAGCAAGUUUGCAGUUAAAUGUCCAGUUAUGGCCUUUGUUUGGUCCAUGGCCACAGAGAAGCAGAAACUGCUUUUUCUCCCAGAGAAGCAGUUUCUUGCCAAGUAUCCCCACACAAAGAAAACAAACACACGAGAAGGCACCAUCACAGAUACCUAGGGAGAUAAGCUGCAAAAACAUGUGCUCUGGGCAAAAGUGCAAGGUGCAGAAUGUGAGUUCAUGAUCUACAUGUGUUCUUCACUCUGCUUUGUUUAUUUUCACUCGGUUUUGAUGUGUUAAAUUAAGGGAUAGUUCAUGGCCGUAAGUCAUCUUCUUGCUGUUGGAAGCCAAAUAGUGGGAAGCAGGUAUCUUGCACAUCAGAGGCCAGCUGUUUCACAGGGAGACUUCAAAUGGCUGUAGCUCAAAUAUGAGCAGUUGUUCUGUGGCUUAAAAUGUUGAAGUAACUCCAAAGUUUUAGGAACAAAAAUUGCCCUAGGUCUCAACUGCAAAUUAGAAAGGGAUGAAAAUAUCUGAUCCUCAAAGGGCUUCAAUUAUUGAGACCAUUAAACUACUGGGGGUGGGUCUGAGUUUCCGUUUCUGUUUGUAUUAUGCUUCCUGCUUGGGAGACCUCGCUGAGAGCAGGAACAAGCUGUGCAGCACACAAGGCGGCAAAUCAGACGAGACGAUCCCUGCCCUGCCGUUCAGCAGGAUGGAUGGGAAGAAGGAGGUGUCUUCACCUUCCCUCAACCACCGGGAAGCCCAUCUGCCUUUGCCCAGGUGGCCGCGGCAGUCGGGUCUCCCACUGCAUCUCCUUGAGCCUGGACCAUGGCCACUGGCCAUGAGUUAGGCAGAGACGGCGCAGCAGAGCGUCAGGUACGAGUGGUCGGGCAGGGCUUGGCUGUGCUGAGUCCUCCCUUGCCCGCAUCAAGGUGUCAGUGAGCCCCCGGGGAGAUUAUUCUUAUAAAUCUGCAAAAGCAGAGGUUGAAAGCCUCCUGAGGCACAAGUAAGUGAAUCCCAUUAUUUGGAGGUGAAGUGGGUGCUCCCACAACUUACAAAUGAGCAGCCGACCAUUCUUCUUUUCAUUUUCUGGACAUCUUUUCUAUGCAACAGUUGGAUGUGUUACAAAAUUAGUUCAGUAAUGGUCAUAAGUGGUUGUAAAGACGCUUGAAGGAAUUUCAGGUAAAGGCAUGGAGGAUUAUCCUGAAACUCCAGCAGUCUAGCUGUUGGUGUCUGGGAACCAGCAUGCAUUUUUUCUGAUCUGUACUUCUGCAGUGCUGUGAUCUUACUGACAAGAGGAAAUAAAGCAGCACCAGGCAGACAAGGGAAAAUCAUACUUUCUAAAAAACUUUCCCUACUCACAGAGAACCUGACUAUAUGUGACUCACAGUUAUUAGUAUUUUGAAUCCAUCCUUCUUAAAGUGUAGCGAGCCUGUUGAAGCAAUAAAUUCGGUGGGUAGUCACCACUUGGCUAUCGGUGCAUCCAGCGAGUGCAUUGUCAAGCACCAGGCCAAAGGCAGCAGCAAUCAAGGCUACAUCAUGAUCCAGUAAUUUCUGUUGUGUGUUUCAUUGUGGUCAACAUCUUUAUCUUUGGUUUUGUAACAGAAAUUUUAAGGAGACAAGACCCUUCCUGGGGGAGCCUGUUGUAAGCCAAAAUCAUGUCACCAUGCUGCGAUCACAGACAGUGGCUGGGAACCCAAACGCUGUCCAGUGUGUGUGUAAUAAGGAGCACUGGAUUAAGUAAUGCAAAACAAAAAUGAUAUUCACAAAUAAACAGUGAAGUUAUCACUUUGUUAUUUAUGGGUUUCACAGCUUCAGUUGUUCUCUGGCAGUGCUUCCAAGUGAUGAGGUCCACAAAGUUUACCAUGAAGAUGAUUUUCCUCCUGAUGUUCCAGAAGUGAGGUAUUCGCUCCUGGUCACUCAACAUCCAGCUACCCAAGCAAGAAACAGAGGUUUUAAAUCAUCAGAGACACACUGAGGCUUCUAAGAGAUUGAACUAAGCAGUUCUUGAACAUGCCUCACUUGCCAAAAGAGUUUGCAUAAAAUGCAUGCCAGUAAUGAAUGCUUUCAUAGAUUCAUCCAUCAUUGCAAACAGGGAUUGCAAUUUUAUUUCUAAUGAACAACCCAAUCUGUUCAGAAGAAGAAAAAAAAAAAAAAAAAAAAGAGAGAGGAUGGCACUAUGCUGUUUUUCUCAAGAAUUAAUUCCUCUGUACAUUUACCACAACUCACUGGUACCUUUGAUGCCAGCAAAACCACCAAGAUAGAACCAACUACACCACCAAUCACGUUGUUAAUGAACAGCUCACCAGUAAGGUUGUAGCAGUCCUGCAUGUUUUCCCAAAUCCAAUUUAAAGUCAUAACGUACUUUAUUAGCUGCAGACAGAAUAUUUAAAUUCAAAAUAUUUUUUUUCAAGUUUCAUCUUUUGAAAUGGCAAUUGGCAAUAUUCAAGCCACAUGUUGGCCACUUGUUUUUAGGAUACAGGGUGUACCUUAGUACAAACCUUUCUCUGUUUCUUGAAAAAACAACAAUAAAACACCCUUUGCCUUUUAUCCACAUCUGGCUGCAGCAAAAACAGUGACCCAUGGAAUUCAAAAUUUCAUACUUCACUGCUGCAGGCGAAGUCCAGAGGUUAUUCUUGCUGUGUUUGUGAAAGAUGUAGCACUGUCAAGAGGAGAAGUGCUUAUUGAAAAAACACAUGAGGUUUCUGUUUCCAAAAAUUAUGGAAUUAGCCAAUGAUAAGAGACUUUUUAAUGCCCUCUAGCCAUUCAUGGGACUUUAUAAGGAAUAGCUCAGCUGUUAAUUGCAAAACAAAAGUAAACAGUCCAAGUCAGAUCUCAUGUGAGGAGAAUACCACCACCACAGCUCAGCAGAUCUGUGAUUCAGGAGUGUCUCAAAGGGUCUGAAAUUCCAAGGAUACUGUAAGACAUGAAAUAAUGUGAAAUAUUGAAAUAAUUAAAUGAAACAAAAUAUUGUGCAAUACUAAUUUUGAAUUUAACCUUACACUAAAGAUGUUGUAAUAUCAUAAUGAGUCAAGCUUCCUAGGCAUGUUAGGAGGUAAGGAAUUAAUAACUUCUUCCUUGUUACAAGGAAGAGAAUGAUGAAUUUAUGUCACUUUCUGAAAGCCAUCACCCAAAGAUCACCUCUCUCCAUUCCUGAAGGCUAUCAGAUAGAACUUAAUAUUGGUCUAAGCUCAGAAAGUGGGAGUUAUACUCAAAUGCAUAUUCUUCAGUGCUCUUGCUUUGCCAGAGAUAGCACCAUUAUAUAGUUACUAGAAACCCUAUAUAUGAGUUAUGAGUCCAAAGCCUGCCUUUAAUAUUUUGUCAUCUCUCUAACUUAUUGAGGGAAUGCCCAGACUCAUCACUCACAGUGCUGUCCUCCAGCGCAAAGGGGUCUCCUAACGUAAAGCUAGGCCUUUUUGCGAAGGAGAACAUACACACAGCAAACAUAUCUUUGUGGGCCUGGAGGCACCAAAAGCCUAUGGCAGCCUCAGCAUUCCCAAAUGAAUUUUCACUCAUGUAAGAUUUAGGUGUAUAAUGGAGCAAUAAAGUAGCCAGCUGUCCUUAAGUGCA